ncrna:unclassified sequences Glutamine riboswitch
UUCGUUCAUCUCUUUAAGAGACGGAAGUAGGUAAUGAUGCCGAAGGAACGCACU